GAUCAGAGUGCCAAGUGGGCCAUUUUUGGUAAGCAGAACUGGCGCUGUGGGAUGAACCAAACGCAGAGUUAAGGCGCCCAACUCGACGCUCAUGGGACACCAUGAAAGGCGUUGGUUGCUUAAGACAGCAGGACGGUGGCCAUGGAAGUCGGUAUCCGUUAAGGAGUGUGUAACAACUCACCUGCCGAAGCAACUAGCCCUGAAAAUGGAUGGCGCUGAAGCGUCGAGCCUGUACUCUGCCGUCAGCGGCAAGUAGGGCGGCCGCGUGCGCGUCGCGAGGCUCGUACGCGCCGCCAUGAGGCCCUGACGAGUAGGAGGGUCGCGGCGGUGUGCAUAGAAGGGUCUAGGCGCGAGCCUGCCUGGAGCCGCCGUCGGUGCAGAUUUUGGUGGUAGUAGCAAAUACUCCAGCGAGGCCCUGGAGGACUGACGUGGAGAAGGAUUUCGUGUGAACAGCCGUUGCACACGAGUCAGUCAAUCCUAAGCCCUAGGAGAAAUCUUAUGUCAAUAACGGUGUACGAUACUCUAGUGUCGCGUUCUCGCAGCUCUGCAAAUAGAGAGAGAGAGGAGAGAGACACACGCCCGUCGGGCGAAAGGGAAUCCGGUUCCUAUUCCGGAACCCCGCAGCGAAACCGCAUACAAUUCGGGCCCUCGUAAGUGUUCUUCGGGGUAACCCAAAAUGACCUGGAGACCCCGUCGGGAGGUCCGGGAAGAAUUUUCUUUUCUGUAUAAGCGUUCGAGUUCCCUGGAAACCUCUAGCAGGGAGAUAGGGUUUGGAACGCGAAGAGCAC
rnacentral:ncRNA from 1 species